rnacentral:rRNA from 1 species
GCCAGACUCCUACGGGAGGCAGCAGUGGGGAAUAUUGCACAAUGGGGGAAACCCUGAUGCAGCGACGCCGCGUGAGCGAUGAAGUAUUUCGGUAUGUAAAGCUCUAUCAGCAGGGAAGAAAAUGACGGUACCUGACUAAGAAGCCCCGGCUAACUACGUGCCAGCAGCCGCGGUAAUACGUAGGGGGCAAGCGUUAUCCGGAUUUACUGGGUGUAAAGGGAGCGUAGACGGCAUGGCAAGCCAGAUGUGAAAUACCGGGGCUCAACCCCGGGACUGCAUUUGGAACUGUUAAGCUGGAGUGUCGGAGAGGCAGGCGGAAUUCCUGGUGUAGCGGUGAAAUGCGUAGAUAUCAGGAGGAACACCGGCGGCGAAGGCGGCCUGCUGGACCGCGACUGACGUUGAGGCUCGAAAGCGUGGGGAGCAAACAGGAUUAGAUACCCCUGUAAC